CACGUAGGGGGCGAGCGUUGUCCGGAUUUAUUGGGCGUAAAGAGCUCGUAGGCGGCAAUUCAAGUCAUCUGUGAAAUCUCCGGGCUUAACUCGGAACGGUCAGAUGAUACUGCUUUGCUAGAGUGCGGAAGGGGCAAUCGGAAUUCUCGGUGUAGCGGUGAAAUGCGUAGAUAUCGAGAGGAACACCUGAGGUGAAGACGGGUUGCUGGGCCGACACUGACGCUGAAGCGCGAAAGCCAGGGGAGCAAACGGG
rnacentral:rRNA from 1 species